AGGGAUCAUUACCGAGUUUACAACUCCCAAACCCAAUGUGAACGUUACCAAACUGUUGCCUCGGCGGGAUCUCUGCCCCGGGUGCGUCGCAGCCCCGGACCAAGGCGCCCGCCGGAGGACCAACCAAAACUCUUAUUGUAUACCCCCUCGCGGGUUUUUUUUAUAAUCUGAGCCUUCUCGGCGCCUCUCGUAGGCGUUUCGAAAAUGAAUCAAAACUUUCAACAACGGAUCUCUUGGUUCUGGCAUCGAUGAAGAACGCAGCGAAAUGCGAUAAGUAAUGUGAAUUGCAGAAUUCAGUGAAUCAUCGAAUCUUUGAACGCACAUUGCGCCCGCCAGUAUUCUGGCGGGCAUGCCUGUCCGAGCGUCAUUUCAACCCUCGAACCCCUCCGGGGGGUCGGCGUUGGGGAUCGGCCCUCCCUUAGCGGGGGCCGUCUCCGAAAUACAGUGGCGGUCUCGCCGCAGCCUCUCCUGCGCAGUAGUUUGCACACUCGCAUCGGGAGCGCGGCGCGUCCACAGCCGUUAAACACCCAACUUCUGAAAUGUUGACCUCGGAUCAGGUAGGAAUACCCGCUGAACUUAAGCAUAU
rnacentral:rRNA from 1 species